AGAGUUUGAUUCUGGCUCAGAACGAACACUGGCGGCGUGCCUAAUACAUGCAAGUCGAACGGGAAUGUAGUAUUCGUACUACUAGUACAGUGGCGAACGGGUGAGUAACGCGUAAACAAUCUGUCAGUCAGUUGGGGAUAACCCUGCUAAUGCAGGGCUAAUACCGAAUAAUGUUGUGGAGUCGUAUGAUUCUAUGAUAAAAGACGCGUAAGUGUCGCUGAUUGAUGAGUUUGCGUCUGAUUAGCUAGUUGGCGGAGUAAUAGUCCACCAAGGCGAUGAUCAGUAGCCGGCCUGAGAGGGUGUACGGCCACAUUGGGACUGAGAUACGGCCCAGACUCCUACGGGAGGCAGCAGUAGGGAAUUUUGCGCAAUGGGCGAAAGCCUGACGCAGCAACGCCGCGUGAGUGAUGAAGGCCUUCGGGUUGUAAAGCUCUGUCAGGGGGGAAGAAACUACUAUAUUAAUACUAUAGUACUGACGGUACCCUCAUAGGAAGCACCGGCUAACUCUGUGCCAGCGGUCGCGGUAAUACAGAGGGUGCUAGUGUUGUUCGGAUUUAUUGGGCGUAAAGGGAGUGUAGGUGGUGGUUCAAGUCAGUGGUGAAAAUUCGGGGCUUAACCCCGAACUUGCCUUUGAUACUGAUUCACUUGAGUAUGGAAGAGGUCGAUAGAAUUCCUGGUGUAGCGGUGGAAUGCGUAGAUAUCAGGAGGAAUACCAAUUGUGAAGGCAGUCGACUGGGACAAUACUGACACUGAAACUCGAAAGCAUGGGGAGCAAACAGGAUUAGAUACCCUGGUAGUCCAUGCCUAAACUAUGGAUACUAGAUAUCGGAGGAGUUUUACUUCCGGUGUCGUAGAUAACGCGUUAAGUAUCCCGCCUGGGGAGUACGCUCGCAAGGGUGAAACUCAAAGAAAUUGACGGGGGCCCGCACAAGCGGUGGAGCAUGUGGUUCAAUUCGAUGAUAUGCGAAGAACCUUACCUAGAUUUGACAUGGAGGAGAUGCAAGCAGAGAUGUUUGCUUUUUGCAAGAAACUCCUUACACAGGUGCUGCAUGGCUGUCGUCAGCUCGUGUUGUGAGAUAUUGGGUUAAGUCCCGCAACGAGUGCAACCCUUGUCCAGUGUUACCAGUGGAUAAUGUUGGGGAUUCAUUGGAGACUGCCUCAUUUUAAGAGGAGGAAGGUGGGGAUGACGUCAAGUCCUCAUGGCCCUUACAUCUAGGGCUACACACGUGCUACAAUGGCAGAUACAAAGAGUCGUAAUAGCGCAAGUUGGAGCUAAUCUCAAAAAGUCUGCCUCAGUUCGGAUUGGAGUCUGCAACUCGACUCCAUGAAGCUGGAAUCGCUAGUAAUCGCAGACCAGCUACGCCGCGGUGAAUACGUUAUCGGGCCUUGUACACACCGCCCGUCAAGCCAUGAAAGCCGGGGGUACUCGAAGUGGUUGCUUUAACCGUAAGGAAAAGCGCUCCUAAAGUAAAACCGGUGAUUGGGGCUAAGUCGGAACAAGGUA
rnacentral:rRNA from 1 species